rnacentral:lncRNA from 1 species
AUAUAUAUAUAUAUAUAUAUAUAUAGAGUCCGGCUACUAUACUUUUAUGAGUAUUGGCUCCCUUAUACUCAUAAGUUUUCGGCCCUUAGAUUUAUUCUAUAAUCAUUUCCACCCGUUAGAUCAUACAAUUCAACCAACUACCCACUCAACCCUAGGGGACCACUAUCAAUCUAAGUGGGGACCACCAUCAUUCUAACCACACAUCCCAUCAAUCAACGGUUAAAAAUUUAUGAGUACAAAGGGUUCUAUACUCAUAAGAGUAUAGUAGCCCCAGUCUAUAUAUAUAUAUAUAUAUAUAUAUAU